ensembl:lncRNA
AGUUUUGGGUGCUCCCCACGGUGAUGCGAGUAUCACGUUAAUGAGUCGCCUUUCCUUAUCCGCGCAGGAGAGACCUGGGCUCCAGAGGCUGUAUCUCCUCUUGGCGCCUGAACAAGUAGCAGAGCCUUGUGAAAACUGGUAAACACUUCAUGUGCAGGCUGAGAAUGGGGCUUUUGGGGGGCUCGCAGAAGCUUCUCCCCGACCCCAUCUCAAAGGACCAGGGCAGAAGCAUACAUGCCUCCUCUCAAUAAGGAUUGGGGUGGGUGGGAUGCUCAGCAAACGUCAUCACCUCCGGGCUCUGCAGCAAUCAUGGUAAUUCCACGGACCUAGCAGACGUGGACGUUAUUUUCUAAGCCAUUAGAAAAAUUUCAAAUCACAGACUUCAGCCAUGGAAUAUCACUGCACACCCAGGGGGACGGCUGCCUCAGGCAUAGCUUAAUCUCCGCCCCCCCCUCCAAAGUUAGCUAUUGUAUGAUUGAGGAAAAGAAUAUCUGAAUGAGCAUCCACCCAAACCUGUGGAUACUCACACGUUCCUCUGGGGGAAAAAGCAAUUUCUUGGGUUUUCCUCAAUAUGGAAGAAAGCUAAGCAAGGCCCAGAAAGGAACAGUUCUCCCCAUUGCCAUCAUUUCUAUUCUGCGUGUUGCUGCCUCAGUGAAGAUCAAACAGCCUGUCCAUUUUUUCAGCCCUGAACAACAAUUUUCAAAAACGGAGAGAAGAGGGUUAACACUGGGGGCUUUUUGCCCGUCUCUCUUACAGAGAAGUUUUGUUGUUCUUCCUAGUUAAAAAUGCUCAGUGCGAUAACAAUACGUCUUUGAUACUGGACACUGAUAUUGAUCUGGGUGCAUCUGUCUCUCUCGGCAGCUGAUAAUGACACCACACGUGACUUCCUGUUAUUGAAGCCCUUCAGACAUUUCUGGAGCCAGGACUCAGCAGCUCCAGGGGCUGUGCUCCUAUCAGCAGCUCAGGACUCGGGCUUUUAUUGCCUUUUGGUUAAUAUACCUGGAGAGCUGCUGUGUUGUAAACAACUUGUUUACCUCCUCAGCAUAAUUUGUCCCUGUUUCCAUUGGCUCCUGUAUCAUAAACAGAACAUUAAAAGGGAGGAGAUGGGGGGGAGAGGUAAAGCUUGCAGACAGUCAAGAAGAAAACAACCCUAAGCAAAGGCAGCCAGGGUGGAUGAGAUUAUUUAUACCUGUUGUUUUCAUUUCCAGCCAGUAGUACUGUAGUUGUACAGAAUGUGUUUCAGCUUAGAGAAAAAGAAAUACGAAUGACAUUAAAAAAAUCCUUCUUCAAAACAGCUCAUUACAAUAACAUCCAUUCUCCUGGCAGAGAAAUCCAAACUGUAUAGUAACUACACUGUAUUCUGCGAGUCAACAUCUGGUCUGGCAGAUUUAAUUUUUGACAUUAAAAUUUUUCCCCCUUUUACUUUACACAUGUAACAUGCCUUUUAUAAGAUAAUUGCCCUCAGGGACAUCUAUGUCAUUAAUAAUUAUUACUUUCACCCAAUGUUUUCAAAACAUUUUGCAAAUGUUAAUAAGUUUUUCAAGAUGCCUUUGAAAAUCAAAUCCCUUCUGUUCAAGCCAGAAAUGGAAUGGGGGCGGGAGAGGGACAAAUUUGUCCAUACCUAAGGAAAAACAGUCCUAUAAAUAAGGAAUUCAGACUUAUAAAUGCAAAGUGACUUUUUAUUUUUUAUGCAUUUCUUAUGGUAUAAUGGUCAUAUUUCUUGUUAGAAUAUAACUGAAUUUAUAUGGAGGGAGGAAGUCAGCAAACCAGGAGCCCUGAUUUUUUUCUGGGUGACCUUUGGUAAAUCCUUUGAUGUCUUCUCUUCUCCAGUUCUUGAUAUGGAUAGAAAAAAACUUACCUGCAACUGCACUCUUGGCAUUAGUGAGUAUUAGUGAACUUUUGUGGCCCAAGUGCCCUCAGUUAUUAAAAUAAAAAGUAACAAUGAAGGAAAUACCCA